GAUUUUCCUUUCACUAUGUUCGUUCUCCUACUAGAAAAUACACUAUGUGCUCUCCCUCUAAUCAUUUAUCCAUCCUCUCAACUUUCUUCGUCCUUGUACCGCGUUUAUUCCUUCUCAUCUUCGCUUGUUUUCGCGGCGCCUUCAACAUCCGAUGUUUGCCCCUGCUCAUCAUCGCUUGUUUUGUUGCAUCGUUGUCGGCAACCACGCUUUGUCCUCGCACCGUCGUUUUUGCCCUCACUGCGUCGCUACUUCAUCAAGUUGUCACCGAGAAGCAGUCGGCGAGUGGGACCUAACUUCUUCAGUCUCGUUGCGAGCUACUUUGUUAAGAAAGUCGUCACCGCAUCGCUAGCUUAGGUGUUCACAACAUCAGGUCAAUCUUACGGUGACCUAAAUCUGGAUUUGCAUUGCAAUUGAUUUGGCCCAACUACUUUAUUCUAGUCGUAUUUGUGAAUGCUUUGUGCUACUUGCUCGACUCGAAGUGCUUAAUAUUUCUGGAAACCGUCUUACUAAUGCAUGUGGAUCUUAUCUUUGAACAAUUUAAAAAAAAAAACUGUACAGCAUGCUCACCUCCCCUGCUCGUUUGAAUGGAUUGAGGCAUCAUUCUGUAGGAAGGGGACAUAAAACUAACAUAAUCAUUGCUCAAAGGGACUAAAGAGCUUGUGAAACUUGACCUAUCCUUGAGGUGAAUUUGGAAGGAAAUCUUAUUGUGCUUGAGGUCUCAGUGGUUAACAUUCACAACCAAACAAUCACUAUUAGUAUCUCCCUAGGUGGUUCCUCUCGGAGUUGCACUGCACUUUAUGUCUGUCAUAAUGCCAUCCAUCAUAGAACUCUUUGGCAAUACCUUGUCUCUCUAAAUGCAAACAUUAGUGGUCCAUGGUUCUUGAUAGGAGAUUUUAAUGAAAUGAUCUCUCCUAGUGAACAAAGAGGCAUAUAUUUCCAAUCAAAAAGAGCUAAAUAAUUUCUUAGUGUGAUGAACAAUUGCAAUUUAAUUGACCUUCCUAAUAUUGGAGGGAAUUUUAUGUGGCAUCGAAGUUGUAGAGGACAAAGGAUCAUGGAUAUGAGACUGGGCAGAGGGAUGGAAAACUUACAAUGGAUGGUUUCUUUUCCAAAUGCUUUUAUUGAUAUUCUUCCUAGAUGUAACUCGAACCAUAACCUCAUUCUUGUGAGGUGUGGUGGUCUUCCUCAAUCUAGGGGUCGUUGCUUCUAUAGGUUUGAGGAAACAUGGAUUGAUCAUAUUGACUAUCCUAUAGUUGAAGAUGGUCAGGCUACCUCUUUGACUUGUCCUAUAACACUAGAGGAAAUUAAAGUUGCUUUGUUCUCAAUGUAAUCCUUCAAGUUUCCUGAACCAGAUGGAUUUCAAGCAAUCUUUUUUAAGCAUUUCUUGGAAACUAUUGAAGAGGAUAUUUGCCACUUGAUUUUUGAUUCUUUUGUGAUAGGUUCUUUCAAUCCUUUGAUUGUUAAAACUCUUAUUGAUCUUAUUCCUAAAGCGAAUUAACCUAAA